rnacentral:rRNA from 1 species
UAGAGUUUGAUUCCAUGGCUCAGAUUGAACGCUGGCGGCAGGCUUAACACAUGCAAGUCGAGCGGUAACAGGGGGUGCUUGCACCCUGCUGACGAGCGGCGGACGGGUGAGUAAUGCAUAGGAAACUGCCCAGUAGUGGGGGAUAGCCCGGGGAAACCCGGAUUAAUACCGCGUACGCCCUUCGGGGGAAAGCAGGGGAUCUUCGGACCUUGCGCUAUUGGAUGUGCCUAUGUCGGAUUAGCUAGUUGGUGGGGUAAAGGCCUACCAAGGCGACGAUCCGUAGCUGGUCUGAGAGGAUGAUCAGCCACAUCGGGACUGAGACACGGCCCGAACUCCUACGGGAGGCAGCAGUGGGGAAUAUUGGACAAUGGGGGCAACCCUGAUCCAGCCAUGCCGCGUGUGUGAAGAAGGCUUUCGGGUUGUAAAGCACUUUCAGUGAGGAGGAAAACUAUGCGACUAAUACUCGUAGGGCUUGACGUACUCACAGAAGAAGCACCGGCA